rnacentral:lncRNA from 13 species
UGAGUAUAUAAACUAUAAAUACAUAAUAAUUUUUCUAUUACUGCCUAGAAGCAUUAUUUCUAGCUAUAUUAUAUCAAUCAGCCAAUAACAUGAAUAUGAAUACUGAUGGCAACACUACCUAAUGUUUAUGGUAUUACCAGGAGAAGGGACUAGAGGAUUUGUGAUUUAUCUGUUGCCUUGAUUUAGUGACUCAACUUUCUGUACAUUGAAAGUUGCCUUUAAUAAAAAAAAAAGUAUUUGACUUCUUAUUAUGAAGUCACAGUGGAUGUGAUGUAUGAGAUACAGAUCUUUUAACAGUAGAAUCUUUGUUCAUUUAUGUACUCACUUGGUCACUCACUGAUGACAACUAAUUGUCCUCAGAGCUGUGGCUUGGCAUUGGAAGAACCAUGAUGAACAGACAGAGACUGCCCUCAUAAAACUUACAGGCUCAUGUCAGAACAGACAUUAAGCUAAAUAUUCAGACAAAUAAGUGCAAAAUUGCAACUGCUUUCUGGAGGCUGGAAAGUCUAUGAUCAAGGCACAAGCAGAUUUGGCGUCUGAUGAGGGCUGAUUUCCUGGUUUAUCGAUCAUGCCAUCUCAUUGUGUGGUCACAUGGUGGAAGAGGGAAGGCGGAUGUCCGGGGUCUAUUUUAUUGCCUCCUCCUCUGAUUUACUUGAGCCAGUGUUUGAGUAAACUUCUUGCCUGGAAAAAUUACAGUCACCAAACUAAUUCAGUUACUGUUCAGAAUAAAUACACAGAAUGGCAAAUGGACCUCCCUGGAGUGGCUGGGGCAUUCAAAGUCUCUAUCCUAUGUCAGAUCAUCACUCAAGCCAUUUCUAAGUGAUGCUGACUGGAAAGAAAGCAGAGAAAUGCAUAAAUGGAAGAAGCGUAUUACGUGAGUUGAUCUUUGAAAGGGUAAGACACUCAGCAGGAGCUCCGCUGCAUAUUUCUACCGUAAUCAGACCAACUGCAAGCGUCAUUGAGCACUUGUGUUUGCUAGUGUGCUAGACACUGUGAACAAAAUAAAAUGAAGUGAGAUUGAAUUUCUUUCUGCA